rnacentral:rRNA from 1 species
UACGGGGGGGGCAAGCGUUGUUCGGAAUUACUGGGCGUAAAGGGCUCGUAGGCGGCUUCUUAAGUCAGACGUGAAAGCCCUCGGCUUAACCGGGGAACGGCGUCUGAGACUGAGCGGCUUGAAUCCGGGAGAGGGAUGCGGAAUUCCAGGUGUAGCGGUGAAAUGCGUAGAUAUCAGGAAGAACACCCGUGGCUAAGGCGGCUCUCUAGUACGGUACUGACGCUGAGACGCGAAAGCGUGGGGAGCGAACAGG